CUCAAAUGAUUAAAAAUCAUGCAGCGGAAAAUACAAAAAUAAUAUAAGUUUCAAAGUCCGAAUUGAAAAUACUUAAUCAAGUGACAUAGUUCAAUUGUUAUAAAAAUUUAACAACAUAAUUAAAUAAAAGUUUAUCCCAACAACAUCCUAACAGAGCGACUCCAAAUAAAUAGCAAAGCAACAGCGAUCCGAACACACCAUCUAUGAUUCGUAUCCUACCUGAAAAUCUACGGUUGCACAUCGUAUAGGGCCAAGCCAGAAGGGGGAAUGUAAAGGUGAGUCAAAAUACAUCAAGAAAGUAACUGAAUAAAAACAACGCAAUAACUAACAACAUCAUAAACAACAACAACAAGACCACCUAAGCGGAUGGCCACGCACAUUCAUCAGUCAACCACAAUCAUCAAUCGUUAAUUAACUAAAGANNNNNNNNNNNNNNNNNNNNNNNNAUGCAAUGCGCCUAGACUCGCUACAUGCAUGUGGUACCAAUAGCAACGUCAUUUCUAGUUUUACAUCAUAGAGGAUCAACAUCAUUAUAAGCAACGUCAUUUUCAACUUCAUUAGGCAAUGUCAUUUUCAACAUCAUUUAUACAACUUCAAUAAGCAACAUCAUUAGACAUAUGAAUGAAUGCAUGUCAUGUUAUAAUAAGCAACGUCAAUAGGCAACAUCAUUUAACAACUUCGAUAGACAACUUCAUCAUCAUUAUAACAACAUCAAUAAACAAUGUCCAUAAGUAACUACAACAAUAACAAUUACAACAUCAUAAUUUCAGCACAACUCCACCAUCAUUAAAAUAGAUAAUUCAACAUCGUUAUAACCACGUAACUCAACAUCAUUAUUCAACGAAACGGCAAUUUAAACAACACAAUUACUAUCAACGAGCAAUGACUUAAAACAACACCGAUACACAACAAUUAUUAGCAACUUCGAUUACAACACCAACUAAAACUUCAUAACUCAAUUAAUCAUUCACUCCUCUCCAAAACAACAACCUAUUACUNNNNNNNNNNNNNNNNNNNNNNNNNNNNNNNNNNNAUUAAGAAAUAAAUUCAAAUCUUAAUAGCAUAUAAAACCAGGGAGAGUGAGGUAUACCAGAGGGUUCCAAAAUAUUUAAAAUACCCUUCAUAAAAUUUUGGGAAAUUUUCACAAAAUUAUAAUAUUUUUAAUCACCUUUUUACUCCAAAUAAUUAAUUAAAAAUAACUACGAGUGUCCAAAAAUUACCAAAGAGGUACCAAAAUUUCAAGCAAAUUAUUUACUAUUUUAUGGAAAAAGAAUAAAAAUAUUUCAAACUCUCCUGAGCUCCCACGCGCCGGUGCUGUGAGUGGGCGAGGCCACUCGCGCACUGUUCAUUGUCUUCUUCACCCAGUUCCAGGAAAACGGGUCGCACGAUCCGCUAACCGACCCAGACGCUUCUCUCUCAUUUCUCAACGAAAAUCGACGUUCUUUAUACCGUUUUGAUCGUCAUUCAAUUUUAGAAAGAUGCCUUGUAUUAUUUUGUAAAAUCGUAGAACGAAUCGUACGUGAAAAUAAGGAAGUAGAGUUGGUUCAAACUUAAGUUUUGCCAUCGGUUUUCUUGAUUAAAAUACAAAGGGAAUGAUCCUAAUUGAUUUCCAGAAGUUUAAAAGCUUUGCAGACACGUUCAUAAACCGAUUAGAACAUUUAAAUCCAUAUAAAACUCAACUUGUGAAUUAAUAACUCAAAAUUCAUAUUUUAAGUAAAAUGGUUAUUUUUCUUUUUAUACUUAACACAACAACACCAUGGAUGAACUCAACAAAACUCACUCAGAAUCAGUAACAAAUAUGGCGCGAUUUUAUUCAAGUAACAAAGCACAUCAUCAUCAUCAUCAUCAUAGUAAAAUUCCAAUUUCAAAUUCAAGUAAAUUCAAACAACAACAACAACAACAACAUGCAUAAGAACAACAACUUAAACACACACAUAAUAAAUACGUCAAGUAUUCUUAUUGAAUUCAGAAUUUCAAGAGUAUAUAAAGCUCACUUACUUGGAUUGCAGUGAACUCCCUACAUUGAGGUUAAACUUUUCAUUCCCUUGUUUCUCUUCACUCUCCCACAAGCUCUUUCUCUUCUUUCACCCACUAGCACUAUUUUUGUUUUGUGUUUGUUUUG
rnacentral:lncRNA from 1 species